AUUCCUGUUCUUCAAAAACCAUUAUCCCACAUAAACAGAAAACAGGAUGACACUAUAUUAUCUGCUGCAGAUAAGAGGCAGAAGUUCCAUGAAAGCCGACUACGUGUUGCUCCAUCAUGUACAUUUAGCGAUUCCUCUAUUCCUCAACAGCAGAAGGCUGAAUCUUACAAAAAUGUUUUGCCAUGGUGGGAGGCAAAUUAUGUGACAAAUGUUAAUAUACCACUUGGGUCUGCCAUUAAUACUUGCCACAAAAGUAUUUUACCUCCAAUAAAAGCUGUGAGCUCAGUAAGAUCAGGUGUACCGAAUGUACCACAAGGAAAGAAGAAAUGUCUUCUUGGUGAAAUCACUCACUUUCCUGCUCUUUGCAAUGGUACUACUUCUAAACAUCGGAAAAUUCCUCAUUUUAAUACUGUCCCUCAUUUACCAGCAAUUUUAUCUCCACCUGCUGCUCCUCCACCAAGUAUUUCAAGUUCAUUGGAACAAGAUGGAAAUAAGGGAUAGAAAAAUUUCAAAUAAAGCUUGGUUCUUUUCUGUCAGAUCACUUUGAAUAAGACAGGGUUGCCACUCAAACAGGAGAAUGAAAUUCCCCGACUUUUCCAGGUUUUCCAGGUGCGUUUCAAGAAAAUUCC